rnacentral:rRNA from 1 species
AGCGAACGCUGGCGGCAGGCUUAACACAUGCAUGUCGAACGCCCCGCAAGGGGAGUGGCAGACGGGUGAGUAACACGUGGGAACGUACCCUUUGGUUCGGAAUAACUUGGGGAAACUCAAGCUAAUACCGGAUAAGCCCUUAUGGGGAAAGGUUUACUGCCGAAGGAUCGGCCCGCGUCUGAUUAGCUAGUUGGUGAGGUAAUGGCUCACCAAGGCGACGAUCAGUAGCUGGUCUGAGAGGAUGAUCAGCCACACUGGGACUGAGACACGGCCCAGACUCCUACGGGAGGCAGUAGUGGGGAAUAUUGGACAAGGGGGGCAACCCUGAUCCAGCCAUGCCGCGUGAGUGAUGAAGGCCUUAGGGUUGUAAAGCUCUUUUACCCGGGACGAUAAUGACUGUACCGGGAGAAUAAGCCCCGGCUAACUUCGUGCCAGCCGCCGCGGUAA